ACUCCUACGGGAGGCAGCAGUGGGGAAUCUUGCACAAUGGGGGCAACCCUGAUGCAGCGACGCCGCGUGAGCGAUGAAGCCCUUCGGGGUGUAAAGCUCUUUCGUCAGGGAAGAUAGUGACGGUACCUGGAGAAGCAGCUGCGGCUAACUACGUGCCAGCAGCCGCGGUAAUACGUAGGCAGCGAGCGUUGUUCGGAGUUACUGGGCGUAAAGGGUGUGUAGGCGGUUGUUUAAGUUUGGUGUGAAAUCUCCCGGCUCAACUGGGAGGGUGCGCCGAAUACUGAGCGACUAGAGUGCGGGAGAGGAAAGUGGAAUUCCUGGUGUAGCGGUGAAAUGCGUAGAUAUCAGGAGGAACACCGGUGGUGUAGACGGCUUUCUGGACCGUAACUGACGCUGAGACACGAAAGCGUGGGUAGCAAACAGGAUUAGAUACCCUGGUAGUCCAUGCCCUAAACGAUGCAUAUUUGGUGUGGGCAGUUCAUUCUGUCCGUGCCGGAGCUAACGCGUUAAAUAUGCCGCCUGGGGAGUACAGUCGCAAGGCUGAAACUCAAAGGAAUUGACGGGGGCCCGCACAAGCGGUGGAGCAUGUGGUUUAAUUCGACGCAACGCGAAGAACCUUACCUGGGCUCGAACGGCUUCUCAACGGCUGUAGAAAUAUGGCUACCCCGCAAGGGGGUGGAGUCGAGGUGCUGCAUGGCUGUCGUCAGCUCGUGUCGUGAGAUGUUGGGUUAAGUCCCGCAACGAGCGCAACCCUUGUCCUGUGUUGCCAUGCCGCAAGGCGGCACUCGCAGGAGACCGCCAGCGAUAAGCUGGAGGAAGGUGGGGAUGACGUCAAGUCCUCAUGGCCUUUAUGUCCAGGGCUACACACGUACUACAAUGGCCGGUACAAAGCGUCGCUAACCCGCGAAGGGGAGCCAAUCGCAAAAAACCGGUCUCAGUUCGGAUUGCAGGCUGCAACCCGCCUGCAUGAAGUUGGAAUCGCUAGUAA
rnacentral:rRNA from 1 species